rnacentral:rRNA from 1 species
GAUGAACGCUGGCGGCGUGCCUAAUACAUGCAAGUCGAGCGAACGGACGAGAAGCUUGCUUCUCUGAUGUUAACGGCGGACGUGUGAGUAACACGUGGAUAACCUACCUAUAAGACUGGGCUAACUUCGGGAAACCGGAGCUAAUACCGGAUAAUCUUUUGAACCGCAUGGUUCAAAAGUGAAAGACGGUCUUGCUGUCACUUAUAGAUGGAUCCGCGCUGCAUUAGCUAGUUGGUAAGGUAACGGCUUACCAAGGCAACGAUGCAUAGCCGACCUUAGAGGGUGAUCGGCCACACUAGAACUGAGACACGGUGCAGACUCCUACGGGAGGCAGAAGUAGGGAAUCUUCCGCAAUGGGCGAAAGCCUGACGGAGCAACGCCGCGUGAGUGAUGAAGGUCUUCGGAUCGUAAAACUCUGUUAUUAGGGAAGAACAUAUGUGUAAGUAACUGUGCACAUCUUGACGGUACCUAAUCAGAAAGCCACGGCUAAAUACGUG